CGGGUUAGCUCAACGGCAGAGCAUCGGUCUUCCAAACCGAGGAUACGGGUUCGAUUCCCGC
rnacentral:tRNA from 1 species